rnacentral:sRNA from 1 species
GGCAUAUAAUUGGUUGCAUUUCUUAUCGUUAUUAACAUUUAAUCUUAUUUCUUAUUCCCCUGCAGGUUAUCUUCAAGCCGUUAUUUAUAAUUUCGUGCUCGGCAACAUUUCCGGCAUUUUUAACCAGAAUACAUUUUUUGUUGGCGACCUUCAUACAAUACCGGAAACCAAUAAAAAAACGGCCAGAAGUUAUUGCCAGUCAACAAAGGAAAGGAAAACAAGGGGAGAAAUAUAAACACAGGUGAGGAGGCACGAAAUGGAACAGACUCACUCGGAUGAUAUGGGCGUGGUCUCGCCCGUGGCCGCCGCAAAAAAUAAAUAUCCAACUUCAAAAAUUCUUAACUGCAAGCCGGU